rnacentral:tRNA from 1 species
UGGGUUAGCUCAGUGGUUAGAGCUUAGGUGCCGUAACCGUAAGGUCCCGGGAUCGAAUCCCGCUAGAGGUAG